rnacentral:rRNA from 1 species
UACGGAGGGGGCUAGCGUUGUUCGGAAUUACUGGGCGUAAAGCGCACGUAGGCGGCUUUGCAGGUUAGAGGUGAAAGCCCGGAGCUCAACUCCGGAAUUGCCUUUAAAACUGCAUCGCUAGAAUUGUGGAGAGGUAAGUGGAAUUCCGAGUGUAGAGGUGAAAUUCGUAGAUAUUCGGAAGAACACCAGUGGCGAAGGCGACUUACUGGACACAUAUUGACGCUGAGGUGCGAAAGCGUGGGGAGCAAACAGG